GACGAACGCUGGCGGCGUGCCUAAUACAUGCAAGUUGAGCGCUGAAGGUUGGUACUUGUACCGACUGGAUGAGCAGCGAACGGGUGAGUAACGCGUGGGGAAUCUGCCUUUGAGCGGGGGACAACAUUUGGAAACGAAUGCUAAUACCGCAUAAAAACUUUAAACACAAGUUUUAAGUUUGAAAGAUGCAAUUGCAUCACUCAAAGAUGAUCCCGCGUUGUAUUAGCUAGUUGGUGAGGUAAAGGCUCACCAAGGCGAAGAUACAUAGCCGACCUGAGAGGGGGAUCGGCCACAUUGGGACUGAGACACGGCCCAAACUCCUACGGGAGGCAGCAGUAGGGAAUCUUCGGCAAUGGACGAAAGUCUGACCGAGCAACGCCGCGUGAGUGAAGAAGGUUUUCGGAUCGUAAAACUCUGUUGGUAGAGAAGAACGUUGGGGGGAGUGGAAAGCUCAUCAAGUGACGGUAACUACCCAGAAAGGGACGGCUAACUACGUG
rnacentral:rRNA from 1 species